GGUGUUUGAAGAACAUGAUCAGAACUGCAAAAAGAAUUUCAUUUUCCAAAGCAGCCAUUCAAUUAAAUAAACAAAAGAAUUUAUGUUAGAAAUGAAGAUUAUAUUCAUAAAGAAAUGAACUACAAUGUUAAAAGGGCCAUUGGGCCUUGGGUUAUGACAACACAUGACCCGUUCUGUUAAAAUCCCCAUCCCCUAUGGCCCUAUCUCAAAUCCAACAGAAUUUGAAGCAGGGACCUCCAUAUUGGAAAAUCCAAGUUGAAACCAUUUAAGUGUCCCUUCAUAACAAAACAAUGUUUUUGAUCCUCAAUUCUCAAACAUGGUUAUACACAUGGAGAUAUCAAUUGAUAGCUUAAACAUUUUACCAAAUUUUCAACUCCAUGACAUUGGAAAAAAUGUGUAAAAGAAAAUUACUUCAUCCGUUACUCAAUGGUAAACUAGGUUGUGGGUUUCAAACUGCAACAUGCACGUCUAUUAGUAUAUGCUAAGAGAUAAAGUGGACUAAUCCUAUCACAGAAGAAACUGAAAGAGAAGUAGUGAUCAAUCUUACGAAGGAUUCAAUUGUGCUGUGGUACAUCCA
rnacentral:misc_RNA from 1 species